UCGGCCGACGUAAAAAGUUGAAUAAUCACCAAAGUUUAGCGGCUAAAUCUUAUAAAUAAAGAGUAUAUUUUUUAAAACACUCGUCCCCCGCUCUGAGUUUGUUCCUCCCUCUGUCUUCGUUCAACCUACCAGCGUCCGUGAGGGCGGGAAGCUUUCUAAUUGGCUGAACUGAACAGCUUUCAAAUUUCUGAAUAUUUUGAUUGGACGACAGGGAGUUUGAACUGAGCGCUGAUUGGUGGAUGGUCCUUUGAGCUUGGGGUGUAGAGUUGUACAUUGUAACAAAAUGGAGGCAUGUCAGCUAUCGGUGAGAUAUGAGAGGAAAGAUGGACAGGCAACGUCACACGCCGUUUUUUUAAAGUGCGAGGUUUUAAACUAUUGUAAAUCAUAAUAAAGUUGGAUAAUAAUACAUCGAGUCUUUUCUUUCGCGAGGUCAACGUAACAUUUAACAAGAUGGAGCAGAAUAAUAAUUUUGUGUGUUUUAUUUAGACCUUCGUGCCAGGGUGAACUUCAGCAAUACCUCUACAGCGUAAUCCACGAGCCACAAAAACCAUUGAACUGCAGCUUACUUGUGAUUUCAUAGUGUCUGAAGAGCUAAAUGCUGAAGAGCCACAAAAAAGUAACAGCAAGAAAAGCAGCAACAUUUGCUAGGUGUGAAACUGGGGUCAAGUCACGUUGCGCACGUUUUGUAUGUGCGAUUUUGAUCCUCAGGCAAUUUCAAGCACAGAUUUUGUAUUACUGCACAUACGUGUUUUAC